CAAGGCGACGAUCCCUAGCUGGUCUGAGAGGAUGACCAGCCACACUGGAACUGAGACACGGUCCAGACUCCUACGGGAGGCAGCAGUGGGGAAUAUUGCACAAUGGGCGCAAGCCUGAUGCAGCCAUGCCGCGUGUAUGAAGAAGGCCUUCGGGUUGUAAAGUACUUUCAGCGGGGAGGAAGGUGUUGUGGUUAAUAACCGCAGCAAUUGACGUUACCCGCAGAAGAAGCACCGGCUAACUCCGUGCCAGCAGCCGCGGUAAUACGGAGGGUGCAAGCGUUAAUCGGAAUUACUGGGCGUAAAGCGCACGCAGGCGGUCUGUCAAGUCGGAUGUGAAAUCCCCGGGCUCAACCUGGGAACUGCAUUCGAAACUGGCAGGCUUGAGUCUUGUAGAGGGGGGUAGAAUUCCAGGUGUAGCGGUGAAAUGCGUAGAGAUCUGGAGGAAUACCGGUGGCGAAGGCGGCCCCCUGGACAAAGACUGACGCUCAGGUGCGAAAGCGUGGGGAGCAAACAGGAUUAGAUACCCUGGUAGUCCACGCCGUAAACGAUGUCUACUUGGAGGUUGUGCCCUUGAGGCGUGGCUUCCGGAGCUAACGCGUUAAGUAGACCGCCUGGGGAGUACGGCCGCAAGGUUAAAACUCAAAUGAAUUGACGGGGGCCCGCACAAGCGGUGGAGCAUGUGGUUUAAUUCGAUGCAACGCGAAGAACCUUACCUGGUCUUGACAUCCACGGAAGUUUUCAGAGAUGAGAAUGUGCCUUCGGGAACCGUGAGACAGGUGCUGCAUGGCUGUCGUCAGCUCGUGUUGUGAAAUGUUGGGUUAAGUCCCGCAACGAGCGCAACCCUUAUCCUUUGUUGCCAGCGGUCCGGCCGGGAACUCAAAGGAGACUGCCAGUGA
rnacentral:rRNA from 1 species